GGCUUUGUGGCCCAACGGUAAAGUGCUCGUCGCGGAGUCAGAGGGUCCUGGGUUUGAUUCCCAACAGGGUCA
rnacentral:tRNA from 1 species